UACGUAGGGUGCAAGCGUUAUCCGGAAUUAUUGGGCGUAAAGAGCUCGUAGGCGGUUUGUCGCGUCUGCUGUGAAAACUGGAGGCUCAACCUCCAGCCUGCAGUGGGUACGGGCAAACUAGAGUGCGGUAGGGGAGAUUGGAAUUCCUGGUGUAGCGGUGAAAUGCGCAGAUAUCAGGAAGAACACCCGUGGCUAAGGCGGCUCUCUAGUACGGUACUGACGCUGAGACGCGAAAGCGUGGGGAGCGAACAGG
rnacentral:rRNA from 1 species